rnacentral:rRNA from 1 species
ACGAGCGGAGAUAGCACGUUGAAUGUACCAGAUCCCAAUGGAUCACUGAAGUUAAGUAAUAUUGCGCAUGGUUUGUAUCCGGAUGGGUGACCAUCUGGGCAAUUGCGGGCUGCUAGCU